rnacentral:rRNA from 1 species
GACGAACGCUGGCGGCGUGCUUAACACAUGCAAGUCGAACGGUAAGGCCCUUCGGGGUACACGAGUGGCGAACGGGUGAGUAACACGUGGGUGAUCUGCCCUGCACUUCGGGAUAAGCCUGGGAAACUGGGUCUAAUACCGGAUAGGACCACUGCCUGCAUGGGUGGUGGUGGAAAGCUUUUGCGGUGUGGGAUGGGCCCGCGGCCUAUCAGCUUGUUGGUGGGGUGAUGGCCUACCAAGGCGACGACGGGCAGCCGGCCUGAGAGGGUGACCGGCAACACUGGGACUGAGAUACAGCCCAGACUCCUAGGGGAGGCAGCAGUGGGGAAUAUUGCACAAUGGGCGCAAGCCUGAUGCAGCGACGCCGCGUGAGGGAUGACGGCCUUCGGGUUGUAAACCUCUCUCAGCACCGACGAAGCGCAAGUGACGGUAGGUGCAGAAGAAGGACCGGCCAACUACGUGCCAGCCGCCGCGGUAA